rnacentral:rRNA from 1 species
AUGCCAUCCAUCCAAGAGAAUGACUUCCCCGUCGAAUCAUGUACUCCCGACAGUGCUGUUGACAAGAAAAACACAUCACCGCCGGCACCAUCAACGCCAGAAAAGGUGGCCAUGGACGAGCCGUUCCCGUUCUUUGGCUUGCUUUGCUACGCUGAUGCACUAGAUUGGAUGUUCAUGGUGUUGGGGACCAUGGGCUCCCUUGUGCAUGGCAUGGCGCCUUCGAUGUCCUAUUACAUACUUGGGAAAACUGUUGAUGCGUUCGGGAACAACAUAAACGAUCUGAACGCCAUGGUCCAUGAAUUUUCUAAGUUAGUUCCAUAUAUGUGGUUCUUGGCACUUAUUACACUCCCUGCUGGAAUAAUUGAAAUCGCAUGCUGGAUGUAUACAAGUCAAAGACAAAUGACACGCAUGCAGAUGGCAUAUCUGACAUCAGUGCUCAGCCAAGAUAUCGGAGCUUUUGACACUGACUUAACCACCGCGACUAUCAUGGCUGGAGCAACCAACCACAUGAGUAUCAUAAAAGAGGCAAUUGGAGAGAAGAUGGGUCACUUUAUGUCCAACUUCUCCACAUUCUUAGUUGCUGUCAUUAUUGCCUUUGUGUGUUGCUGGGAGGUGGGUAUGAUGGCAUUCUUGGUAGUUCCGAUGCUCCUCGUGGUUGGGGCAACAUAUGCGAAAAUGAUGGUUGGCAUGUCGGCGACAAGGAUAGCUUUGGUCUCUGAAGUAACCUCAGUUGUAGAACAGACUAUUUCACAUAUCAAGACCGUCUUCUCAUUUGUUGGAGAAAAUUCGGCGAUGAAAUCCUUCAUCGAAUGCAUGGACAAGCAAUACAAGCUAGGCAAGAAAGAGGCAAUUACAAAAGGACUAGGUUUGGGAAUGUUACAGAUUGCAACCUUCUGUUCAUACUCAUUGACCAUCUAUAUUGGAGCAUUGGCAGUAACUAGAAGAUCUGCAAAAGGGGGUGAAACAAUUGCUGCAGUCAUUAAUAUCCUCUCCGCUGCGAUAUAUCUCUCAAACGCCGCGCCGGAUCUUCAGACCUUCAGCCAAGCAAAAGCUGCUGGUAAAGAAGUAUUUAAGGUUAUCAAAAGAAAAACAGCGAUAAAUUAUGAAUCAAACGGAAGAAUCUUAGAAAAGGUCACUGGACAUAUUGAAAUAAGAGAGGUGGAUUUCACAUAUCCGUCCCGUAAAGACAAGCUGAUUCUUCAAGGUUUCACACUAGUUAUACCAGCAGGCAAAGUGGUGGCUCUUGUGGGGAGCAGUGGAUGUGGGAAGAGCACUGUAAUUUCUCUGGUUCAAAGAUUCUAUGAUCCUAUAUCAGGUGGCAUUACUGUUGACGGUCAAAACAUUAAGGAACUUGACCUGAAGUCCCUGAGGAGAAAUAUAGGCUCAGUCUCUCAAGAACCAGCACUAUUUUCUGGUACUAUCAUGGAUAACUUGAGAAUUGGAAAACUGGAUGCAACUGAUGAAGAGAUAAUUGAAGCAGCAAAAACAGCUAAUGUGCACUCUUUCAUAUCCAAACUUCCAGAUCAAUACUCGACUGAGGUAGGAGAAAGAGGGGUGCAACUGUCAGGAGGUCAGAAACAGAGAAUAGCUAUUGCAAGGGCUAUACUAAAAGAUCCCCCCAUUCUUCUUCUUGAUGAAGCCACAAGUGCACUUGAUUCAGAAUCAGAGAAGCUAGUUCAGGAUGCUCUUGACAGAGCUAUGAAAGGGAGGACAGUUAUCUUGAUUGCCCACAGAAUGUCAACAAUAAUAAAUGCAGACAAGAUUGUUAUUGUGGAGAAUGGGAGAGUAGCUCAACACGGAACACAUGAAGAAUUGUUGGAGAGAAGUACAUUCUACUCGAGUGUAUGCAGUAUGCAAAGUCUAGAAAAGAAAUCCAGCAAGAAUGAAGACAGAUUUACUGAUCAGGUCGAAGAAGAGCAAGACAGUGCAACGUAUAAAGAACAAUCUUUUGCUGCAUAUGAACAAGAGAAGAAACCAGAACCGACCUCAAAGCAAUCGAAGCAAAGUAUCAGAAAGAGAACGUCUGCUUUCAACAGGAUAUUCCUCGGAACUUUUAAACUGGUGCCAGGAAAGGUUCUGGUGGGCUCCACAGCAGCAGCAAUCUCUGGGAUCUCAAGGCCUCUAUUUGCUUUCUAUAUCAUGACAGUUGGCAUAGCAUACUUCGAUGCAGAUGCAAAUAAAAAAGUCAGCAAGUACUCAAUUAUUUUGUUCCUAAUAGGGAUGUUAACAUUUUUCAGUAACAUCUUCCAGCACUAUAUCUACGGCCUGGUCGGCGAAAGGGCAAUGAAUAACCUAAGGGAGGCCCUGUUUUCAGUUGUUCUUCGAAGUGAAAUAGGUUGGUUCGAGGAACCAAAAAACAGUGUUGGCUUCCUGACCUCACGUGUUGUCAGUGACACCUCCAUGGUAAAAACGAUUAUAUCUGAUCGAAUGGCUGUCAUGGUUCAAUGCAUCUCUUCAAUUAUUAUAGCAACAGCGUUAAGCAUAGCAGUGAACUGGAGGAUGGGUCUAGUUGCAUGGGCUAUGAUGCCAUGUCACUUCAUCGCUGGCCUUGUACAGGUCAGGUCAGCAAAAGGUUUUGCCACUGACAACUCUAAGUCUCACCGGAAGCUCAUCUCACUCACUUCAGAGGCUGUUAGCAACAUCCGCACUGUGGCCUCUUUUGUUCAGGAAGAAGAAAUACUCAGGAAAGCAGAUUUGGCAUUGCAAGAACCGAUGCGGAUAAGCAGGAUUGAGAGUAUCAAGUAUGGUGUGGUACAGGGGAUUUCACUCUGCUUGUGGCAUAUGACACAUGCUAUUGCAUUGAGUUAUACCAUUGUGCUACUUGACAGGAAACUAGCAACAUUUGAAAACUGUGUACGAUCAUACCAAGCAUUUGCAAUGACAAUACCUUCCAUCACAGAGCUAUGGUCCUUGAUCCCUAUGGUCAUGUCCGCCAUUGCGAUAUUGGAUCCUGCACUAGACAUUCUCGACAGAGAAACACAGAUUGUGCCGGAUGAACCAAAAUUGAACGGUGAGGACAGAAUUGUAGGUAAUGUUGAGUUCGAAGAUGUCAGUUUCAGCUAUCCCUCGAGACCAGAAGUGAUCAUACUAGAUGGAUUCAGUCUAGCUAUCGAAUCAGGUCAAAGGGUCGCAUUGGUUGGGCCAAGUGGUUCGGGAAAAUCCACAGUGUUGGCUCUGCUGCUAAGAUUCUACAAUCCUUGCAGCGGCCGAGUACUUAUAGACGGUAAGGACAUCAGAGGCUACAACCUCAAGAGCCUGAGAAAGCAGAUAGGACUGGUGCAGCAAGAGCCAAUCUUGUUCAACCUGUCUAUAAGACAGAAUAUCAGCUAUGGAAAUGAAGGCGCAUCAGAAACAGAAAUAGUGGAGGCCGCAAUGGAGGCAAACAUCCAUGACUUCAUAAGCAGCCUGUCAAAAGGGUAUGAUACCGUGGUCGGGGACAAAGGAGGCCAACUUUCCGGAGGUCAAAAGCAGAGGAUAGCUGUGGCAAGAACUAUACUGAAGAAGCCCGUCAUACUGCUACUAGAUGAGGCGACAAGUGCUCUAGAUGGUGAAUCUGAGAGGGUGGUAAUGAACACCCUCGGUGCAAAAGGGUGGAAAAACAAGGGUGAGCUCUCAAGCAAGAUCACAAGUAUCACGAUUGCCCACAGGCUGUCCACAGUCACAAACGCAGAUGUAAUUGUCGUCAUGGACAAAGGUGAGGUGGUAGAGACGGGUAGCCACGCAACAUUAGUCUCAGCAAGCAAUGGUGUUUACUCGAGACUGUACAAUAUGCAAAUCAAAGCAGGGAAAGACUGA